AACGAACGCUGGCGGCAGGCCUAACACAUGCAAGUCGAACGUGAAGCCACCUUCGGGUGGUGGAAAGUGGCAGACGGGUGAGUAACGCGUGGGAACGUGCCUUUCGGUUCGGGAUAACCCAGGGAAACUUGGGCUAAUACCGGAUACGCCCUUCGGGGGAAAGAUUCAUUGCCGAAAGAUCGGCCCGCGUCGGAUUAGCUAGUUGGUGGGGUAAUGGCCUACCAAGGCGACGAUCCGUAGCUGGUCUGAGAGGAUGAUCAGCCACACUGGGACUGAGACACGGCCCAGACUCCUACGGGAGGCAGCAGUGGGGAAUAGUGGACAAUGGGCGCAAGCCUGAUCCAGCCAUGCCGCGUGGGUGAAGAAGGCCCUAGGGUUGUAAACCCCUUUCAGCGGGGAAGAUAAUGACGGUACCCGCAGAAGAAGCCCCGGCUAACUCCGUGCCAGCCGCCGCAGUAA
rnacentral:rRNA from 1 species